GUGCCAGCCGCCGCGGUAAUACGGGGGGAGCAAGCGUUGUUCGGAUUUACUGGGCGUAAAGGGCGCGUAGGCGGCCUCUGCAAGUCGACUGUGAAAUCUCCGGGCUUAACCCGGAAAGGUCAGCCGAUACUGCAGGGCUAGAGUGCAGAAGGGGCAACUGGAAUUCUCGGUGUAGCGGUGAAAUGCGUAGAUAUCGAGAGGAACACCUGCGGCGAAGGCGGGUUGCUGGGCUGACACUGACGCUGAAGCGCGAAAGCUAGGGGAGCGAACGGGAUUAGAAACCCGGGUAGUCC
rnacentral:rRNA from 1 species